CUUCUCCUAAAAGCGCCAGUUGCCAAAAGGGUUUCGUGGAUUUUUACUCUCUACCCAGAAGUAGCUUUCACCUUUCGAGAACUUUGGUUUCAAGUCGCAGAGCAGAUGAAAGCAAUGGAAACUGAAGCCGCGCUCUCG